rnacentral:rRNA from 1 species
CAGUAGCCGCGGUAAUACGUAGGGCGCAAGCGUUGUCCGGAAUUAUUGGGCGUAAAGAGCUCGUAGGCGGUCUGUCGCGUCUGGUGUGAAAUCCCGAGGCUCAACCUCGGGCUUGCAUCGGGUACGGGCAGACUAGAGUGCGGUAGGGGAGACUGGAAUUCCUGGUGUAGCGGUGGAAUGCGCAGAUAUCAGGAGGAACACCGAUGGCGAAGGCAGGUCUCUGGGCCGCAACUGACGCUGAGGAGCGAAAGCAUGGGGAGCGAACAGGAUUAGAGACCCCGGUAGUCCCUGUCUCUUAUAC